rnacentral:rRNA from 1 species
UACGUAGGGGGCAAGCGUUGUCCGGAUUUAUUGGGCGUAAAGAGCUCGUAGGCGGUUUGGUAAGUCGGAUGUGAAAUCUCCAGGCUCAACCUGGAGGGUCAUUCGAUACUGCCAUGACUAGAGUUCGGUAGGGGAGUGUGGAAUUCCUGGUGGAGCGGUGAAAUGCGCAGAGAUCAGGAGGAACACCCGUAGCGAAGGCGGCACUCUGGGCCGAUACUGACGCUGAGGGAGCGAAAGCGUGGGGAGCGAACAGG